AUUAGAAUGAGAAGAAAUGUUGUCCAGGGCGGUUGGCUGAACUAGCAGCUACAAAGAGCAAGAAACUCAAGAAUAAUGUUUGUUUGAAAACAACUAACGUAAGAUAUAUCUUCGGUUUAAUGCUGCACUGCUGCUCACCGUCAUGACUCAGUCCUCACGUUGAGGCGAGGCGAGACUGGAUGGAGCUAUCUGUCGGUCGGGAAAUGGGAACACAAGCGUACCAUUUGGAAGUGGAAGGAUGCUGUGCUGUGGAGUUUCUCAAUCAUCUCUGUCCCCUUCCCUCAAGCAGGACUGUCAGCUCACUGACCUGGAAGCCAGCUCUUCAUUGCUCAAGCCUGAAGAUGUUAGAGUUCAAGGACGUGGUUAGGAAGGGUGUUUGAGCCACUGUGAACGUGAUGAGCAAAACAUAUCCUGCCAGGAAAAGUUUUCCCUUCAUACUGGGUGGGAGACCUCAACCUGUGAGCUGGCAGACUCGUGCCCAGAAAACCCUGCUAGCCCCGCAGCAGCAGCAGCCACAGGUCCCAACCUAACUUCAGCUGGGACCUCCACCUGCUGCACACAUUGCCUGUCCUUGAUCCUUGAGCUGCAGCAGUCCGACCUGAAUUGACCUGACGCUGGGAAACACAUUUCCAGCUAUCAUACUGUCCAUCAUUGUGACCCAAAUCCUGCCUCCAUUAUGUGUUAUCCCAGAUUCUAUCUGGGGACCUGAACACCAGCAUGCAGGUUUUCACACAGAUGGGCGAUAUGUUGGACCAGAACAGCUUGUCAGAAGUGACAGUCGGCAACAUCAACAGUGCUGCAGCUGCAUGUCAUUCACAGCAUGAACAUCGAUGGCCACUGUGUACCUUGGAAAGACCUCAUGCAGCUCCACAGCUGUACUGUGGGCUAAUUACUGGUGAGCAACACAGGGGAAGUCUAGUUUUGUUUCAUUAAUCAUUAAAUAAAUUUAGGCUUUGCAGUCAUCACCACACAAAAAACCAUGUCCUAGACACACAGUGCAGUAAAUAUGCACAAACUCUUAUCAUAUAUAUGUCUAAUAAUGCUAAUGCAUUUUUUAUUUAAUGGCAACUUUCAUGGCACUCAAGGUCACCCUGCAUCACAUAAGAUCAGUGAUUGUCCUUGUCAUAGCACCCAACUGUUCAGUAAUCCUUUUGAGUCAGAGCAGUCGCGUACAUCACAGUAAUGGCUUUUACUGAGGCUGUUUUGCAGAGGUGACUGGAAUGGGUUGACAGUGUCUGUGGAAUCCUCUGAAGGGAUUGCACUUUUUGUGAUUGCCUUGCAUCAUCAGAGGCCACAGCUCAUCUUAAAUAUCUGCAUAUUCUGUCAGCCGGCAGUAGGUCCAGGCUCAGUAAUGUGUGCAUUUGGGUAAAGUCGGGCCUGGGCAAUAUGACAUGAAAUUCAUAUCAUGGUAGUCAUGUACCUAAGUAAUAAUAAAAGCAUUGAUGUAGUUUAACACCUAUGAGCAUGAUUCUCUACAGGGUAGUCUGUACAAACAGUACCUCCCCUGACAAAGUAGUUAGUGUAACAAGGUCCUGCUAGGUCACAGCUAAACACAGGAUAUGUUCAGCUGCAACCUUGUUAACAGUGGAAUUCACUGCUUGACCGCAGACCCUCAAAUAUCAGAUGUCAGGGUCCUAGACUGAUCAAUCAGAUCACAUUUUUGUUAGUGUGUGAGUUAAAACUUCACGUGGUUGCAUUAAUGCGAGUAUGUGAUGCAGACUGAAGUAUCUAACAAUGACAAAGUGACAGCUGACUCAUAAAUGGGUCUAACAUGUGCAUCGGCAGGUCUGUGUUUUUAACUACUAUUAAGCGACUGUGGGCAGACCACUGCGAGUGGAAACACAAAAAAUUACAACUUCUGCAAUAUCUGCUGCCUUAUGGUCGAUACACAGCUCCGCUCCAAUCUCAUGGCCUGUCUGUGGCACUGAGGCCUUCAGUGUUGAUAGGCUUUUACUGGUGACAGGUAACCAAUCAGAUGGUGCUGUGGAUGGGACAUUGAGCAAAGCUGCAGAGUGGUGACUGACUGCAGACAGCGAGGCAGCUGCAUCAGAGCCAAAGAAGGACAUUUUCAAUUUGUUUUUAGGUUAUCUGAUGUUUUAUAAAACGCAACUUUAAAUAACGAAAGAAAAAAAAAAAAACAACAAAAGGUGAUGGUGUGGCCAACUGAGAAAGUUGGUUGCACCAGUGGAAAAGGUAGUCUGGAGUCAUGGGUCCUUUAAACAAGGGUACAAAGUAAUAACUGUAGAUUGAUUUUUGCACCAGUACCUGCCUUAUUAAACACAUUGGAUUUCGGACAGACAUUUCUGGAUCCUAAAGAAUCAGUAAACCUUUUAAGCCACUGUUUGUGCUUUUGUCAUUUCACUGAAUAAAAAAAAGUUUU